GAUCCUGGCUCAGGACGAACGCUGGCGGCGCGCCUAACACAUGCAAGUCGAACGGAGCUGAGAGAAGCUUGCUUUUCUUAGCUUAGUGGCGAACGGGUGAGUAACGCGUGAGUAACCUGCCCUGGAGUGGGGGACAACAGUUGGAAACGACUGCUAAUAUCACAUAAGCCCACGAUCCGGCAUCGGAUUGAGGGAAAAGGAUUUAUUCGCUUCAGGAUGGACUCGCGUCCAAUUAGCUAGG
rnacentral:rRNA from 1 species